rnacentral:rRNA from 1 species
GGGGUUUUUGUUUGGAGAGUUUGAUCCUGGCUCAGGACGAACGCUGGCGGCGUGCUUAACACAUGCAAGUCGAACGGAAAGGCCCUUCGGGGUGCUCGAGUGGCGAACGGGUGAGUAACACGUGGGUGAUCUGCCCUGCACUUUGGGAUAAGCCUGGGAAACUGGGUCUAAUACCGAAUAUGACCGCAUGCUUCAUGGUGUGUGGUGGAAAGCUUUUGCGGUGUGGGAUGGGCCCGCGGCCUAUCAGCUUGUUGGUGGGGUAAUGGCCUACCA